rnacentral:rRNA from 1 species
AACGAACGCUGGCGGCAGGCUUAACACAUGCAAGUCGAACGCCCCUUUCGGGGGGAGUGGCAGACGGGUGAGUAACGCGUGGGAACGGGCCAUUCAGAUUGGAAUAACACAGGGAAACUUGGGCUAAUACCGGAUACGCCCUUAGGGGGAAAGAUUUAUAGCUGAAGGAUCGGCCCGCGUCUGAUUAGCUGGUUGGUGAGGUAAGGGCUCACCAAGGCGCGGAUCAGUAGCUGGUCUGAGAGUAUGAUCAGCCACAUUGGGACUGAGACACGGCCCAAACUCCUACGGGAGACAGCAGUGGGGAAUAUUGGACAAUGGGCGCAGGCCUGAUCCAGCCAGGCCGCGUGAGUGAUGACGGCCUUAGGGUUGUAAAGCUCUUUCGCACGCGACGAUAAUGACGGUAGCGUGAGAAGAAGCCCCGGCUAACUUCGUGCCAGCAGCCGCCGUAA